AGNGCGAGNGNANNCCGNUGGAACGGUGGCUAAUACCGGGUAUGCCGAGAGGUGAAAGGUUAACUGCCUGGAGAUGAGCUCGCGUCUGAUUAGCUAGUUGGUGGUGUAAGGGACUACCAAGGCGACGAUCAGUAGCUGGUCUGAGAGGAUGAUCAGCCACACUGGAACUGAGACACGGUCCAGACUCCUACGGGAGGCAGCAGUGGGGAAUUUUCCGCAAUGGGCGAAAGCCUGACGGAGCAAUACCGCGUGAGGGAGGAAGGCUCUUGGGUUGUAAACCUCUUUUCUCAGGGAAUAAGCAAGUGAAGGUACCUGAGGAAUCAGCAUCGGCUAACUCCGUGCCAGCAGCCGCGGUAAUACGGAGGAUGCAAGCGUUAUCCGGAAUGAUUGGGCGUAAAGCGUCCGUAGUGGCUGUGUGUGUCUAUUGUUAAAGAGUUUGGGCUCAACCAAAUAAGGGCGGUAGAAACUACACAGCUAGAGUGCGUUCGGGGGCAAGAGGGAAUUCCUGGUGUAGCGGUGAAAUGCGUAGAAGAUCAGGAAGAACACCGGNNGGCGAAAGCGCUCUGCUAGGCCNCACUGACACCUGAGGGACCAAAGCUAGGGGAGCGAAUGGNNNUUAGAUACCCCGNNNUG
rnacentral:rRNA from 1 species